rnacentral:misc_RNA from 1 species
GAUGAAGAACGCAGCGAAAUGCGAUAAGUAGUGUGAAUUGCAGAAUUCAGUGAAUCAUCGAAUCUUUGAACGCACAUUGCGCCCUUUGGUAUUCCUUAGGGCAUGCCUGUUCGAGCGUCAUUUAAACCUUCAAGCUAAGCUUGGUGUUGGGUGACUGUCCGCUUCACUGCGGACUCGCCUCAAAAUUAUUGGCGGCCGGUACAUUGGCUUCGAGCGCAGCAGAAACGCGAACUCGGGCCCGUCGUAUUGGCUCCCAGAAGCUAUCUUCACAAUUUUGACCUCGGAUCAGGUAGGGAUACCCUCUGAACUUAAGCAUAUCAAUAAGCGGAGGA